rnacentral:rRNA from 1 species
GACGAACGCUGGCGGCGUGCCUAAUACAUGCAAGUAGAACGCUGAAGCGAGGAGCUUGCUCUUCUUGGAUGAGUUGCGAACGGGUGAGUAACGCGUAGGUAACCUGCCUUGUAGCGGGGGAUAACUAUUGGAAACGAUAGCUAAUACCGCAUAACAAUGGAUGACACAUGUCUUUUAUUUGAAAGGGGCAAUUGCUCCACUACAAGAUGGACCUGCGUUGUAUUAGCUAGUAGGUGAGGUAAUGGCUCACCUAGGCGACGGUACAUAGCCGACCUGAGAGGGUGAUCGGCCACACUGGGACUGAGACACGGCCCAGACUCCUACGGGAGGCAGCAGUAGGGAAUCUUCGGCAAUGGGGGCAACCCUGACCGAGCAACGCCGCGUGAGUGAAGAAGGUUUUCGGAUCGUAAAGCUCUGUUGUAAGUCAAGAACGGGUGUGAGAGUGGAAAGUUCACACUGUGACGGUAGCUUACCAGAAAGGGACGGCUAACUACGUG